UACAGAGGUCUCAAGCGUUGUUCGGAUUCAUUGGGCGUAAAGGGUGCGUAGGCGGCGCGGUAAGUCGGGUGUGAAAUCUCGGAGCUUAACUCCGAAACUGCAUUCGAUACUGCCGUGCUUGAGGACUGGAGAGGAGAGUGGAAUUCCUGGUGUAGCGGUGAAAUGCGCAGAUAUCAGGAGGAACACCGGUGGCGAAGGCGGGUCUCUGGGCCGUAACUGACGCUGAGGAGCGAAAGCGUGGGGAGCGAACAGG
rnacentral:rRNA from 1 species